rnacentral:rRNA from 1 species
UACGUAGGGUGCAAGCGUUAAUCGGAAUUACUGGGCGUAAAGCGUGCGCAGGCGGUGAUGUAAGGCAGAUGUGAAAUCCCCGGGCUCAACCUGGGAACUGCAUUUGUGACUGCAUCGCUGGAGUGCGGCAGAGGGGGAUGGAAUUCCGCAUGUAGCAGUGAAAUGCGUAGAUAUGCGGAGGAACACCAAUGGCGAAGGCAAUCUCCUGGACCUGCACUGACGCUCAUGCACGAAAGCGUGGGGAGCAAACAGG